rnacentral:rRNA from 1 species
GUAGGUGGCAAGCGUUGUCCGGAAUUAUUGGGGCGUAAAGCGCGCGCAGGCGGUUCGUUUAAGUCUGAUGUGAAAGCCCACGGGCUCAACCGUGGAGGGUCAUUGGAAACUGGAGAACUUGAGUACAGAAGAGGAAAGCGGAAUUCCACGUGUAGCGGUGAAAUGCGUAGAGAUGUGGAGGAACACCAGUGGCGAAGGCGGCUUUCUGGUCUGUAACUGACGCUGAGGCGCGAAAGCGUGGGGAGCAAACAGGAUUAGAUACCCUGGUAGUCCACGCCGUAAACGAUGAGUGCUAAGUGUUAGGGGGUUUCCGCCCCUUAGUGCUGCAGCUAACGCAUUAAGCACUCCGCCUGGGGAGUACGGCCGCAAAGGCUG